rnacentral:rRNA from 1 species
GAUUAAGUUAUUAAGGGCGCACGGUGGAUGCCUUGGCACUAGAAGCCGAUGAAGGACGUUACUAACGACGAUAUGCUUUGGGGAGCUGUAAGUAAGCUUUGAUCCAGAGAUUUCCGAAUGGGGAAACCCAGCAUGAGUUAUGUCAUGUUAUCGAUAUGUGAAUACAUAGCAUAUCAGAAGGCACACCCGGAGAACUGAAACAUCUUAGUACCCGGAGGAAGAGAAAGAAAAUUCGAUUCCCUUAGUAGCGGCGAGCGAAACGGGAAGAGCCCAAACCAACAAGCUUGCUUGUUGGGGUUGUAGGACACUCUAUACGGAGUUACAAAGGACGACAUUAGACGAAUCAUCUGGAAAGAUGAAUCAAAGAAGGUAAUAAUCCUGUAGUCGAAAAUGUUGUCUCUCUUGAGUGGAUCCUGAGUACGACGGAGCACGUGAAAUUCCGUCGGAAUCUGGGAGGACCAUCUCCUAAGGCUAAAUACUCUCUAGUGACCGAUAGUGAACCAGUACCGUGAGGGAAAGGUGAAAAGCACCCCGGAAGGGGAGUGAAAUAGAACCUGAAACCGUGUGCUUACAAGUAGUCAGAGCCCGUUAAUGGGUGAUGGCGUGCCUUUUGUAGAAUGAACCGGCGAGUUACGAUUUGAUGCAAGGUUAAGCAGUAAAUGUGGAGCCGUAGCGAAAGCGAGUCUGAAUAGGGCGUUUAGUAUUUGGUCGUAGACCCGAAACCAGGUGAUCUACCCUUGGUCAGGUUGAAGUUCAGGUAACACUGAAUGGAGGACCGAACCGACUUACGUUGAAAAGUGAGCGGAUGAACUGAGGGUAGCGGAGAAAUUCCAAUCGAACCUGGAGAUAGCUGGUUCUCUCCGAAAUAGCUUUAGGGCUAGCCUCAAGUGAUGAUUAUUGGAGGUAGAGCACUGUUUGGACGAGGGGCCCCUCUCGGGUUACCGAAUUCAGACAAACUCCGAAUGCCAAUUAAUUUAACUUGGGAGUCAGAACAUGGGUGAUAAGGUCCGUGUUCGAAAGGGAAACAGCCCAGACCACCAGCUAAGGUCCCAAAAUAUAUGUUAAGUGGAAAAGGAUGUGGCGUUGCCCAGACAACUAGGAUGUUGGCUUAGAAGCAGCCAUCAUUUAAAGAGUGCGUAAUAGCUCACUAGUCGAGUGACACUGCGCCGAAAAUGUACCGGGGCUAAACAUAUUACCGAAGCUGUGGAUUGUCCUUUGGACAAUGGUAGGAGAGCGUUCUAAGGGCGUUGAAGCAUGAUCGUAAGGACAUGUGGAGCGCUUAGAAGUGAGAAUGCCGGUGUGAGUAGCGAAAGACGGGUGAGAAUCCCGUCCACCGAUUGACUAAGGUUUCCAGAGGAAGGCUCGUCCGCUCUGGGUUAGUCGGGUCCUAAGCUGAGGCCGACAGGCGUAGGCGAUGGAUAACAGGUUGAUAUUCCUGUACCACCUA